rnacentral:rRNA from 1 species
GGAGGCAAGCAGUAGGGAAUCUUCCGCAAUGGACGAAAGUCUGACGGAGCAACGCCGCGUGAGUGAUGAAGGUUUUCGGAUCGUAAAGCUCUGUUGUUAGGGAAGAACAAGUACCGUUCGAAUAGGGCGGUACCUUGACGGUACCUAACCAGAAAGCCACGGCUAACUACGUGCCAGCAGCCGCGGUAAUACGUAGGUGGCGAGCGUUGUCCGGAAUUAUUGGGCGUAAAGGGCUCGCAGGCGGUUUCUUAAGUCUGAUGUGAAAGCCCCCGGCUCAACCGGGGAGGGUCAUUGGAAACUGGGGAACUUGAGUGCAGAAGAGGAGAGUGGAAUUCCACGUGUAGCGGUGAAAUGCGUAGAGAUGUGGAGGAACACCAGUGGCGAAGGCGACUCUCUGGUCUGUAACUGACGCUGAGGAGCGAAAGCGUGGGGAGCGAACAGGAUUAGAUACCCUGGUAGUCCACGCCGUAAACGAUGAGUGC